rnacentral:rRNA from 1 species
UACGUAGGGUGCAAGCGUUGUCCGGAAUUAUUGGGCGUAAAGAGCUCGUAGGCGGCUUGUCACGUCUGCUGUGAAAACUCGGGGCUCAACCCCGAGCCUGCAGUGGAUACGGGCUAGCUAGAGUGCGGUGGGGGAGACUGGAAUUCCUGGUGUAGCGGUGAAAUGCGCAGAUAUCGGGAAGAACACCCGUGGCGAAGGCGGCUCUCUGGGACGGUACUGACGCUGAGACGCGAAAGCGUGGGGAGCGAACAGG